UACGUAGGUGGCAAGCGUUGUCCGGAUUUAUUGGGUUUAAAGGGUGCGUAGGCGGCCCUGUAAGUCAGUGGUGAAAUACUCCAGCUUAACUGGAGGGGUGCCAUUGAUACUGCAGGGCUUGAGUGGAGUCGAAGUAGGCGGAAUUGACGGUGUAGCGGUGAAAUGCUUAGAUAUCGUCAAGAACACCGAUAGUGAAGACAGUUUACUAGGCUUCUACUGACGCUGAGGCACGAAAGUGUGGGGAUCAAAC
rnacentral:rRNA from 1 species